CACUGGCCUAUACAAUCAUUGUUGCGGUUAAGAGGCUCGUAGUUGGAUUGAACUAUAGACUAAUGAUGAUUCCUACGCUCGCGUAGCGAACAAGUCUUUCGACACACACGUAUCGCCGUAUCUUCUCUCUUUCGCAUGCAGUAGCGCAUGAAUCACUAAUUACUCAACACUGUGAACAAACCAGAGUGUACCAAACAUGCCGUAUUUCAAUGUGCAAUGAAUGUCUUAUCAUGGAAUGUUGCCCUUGCUAUACGACACUUGACACUCUGCGCUCAACGCUGCGACUUUGAUUCGAUUACACACGCGAUAACUUACGUCGAUGGGGAUAGUUGGAGUUAACAGUACUGCUGGGCGAGAGGUGAAAUUCAUUGACCCUAGCAAGACUACCUAAAGCGAAAGCAGUUAGCUAGGCUAUACUCUGUGUCUGGCGCAUGACACUACACACACACGCGCAAGACUUAACAA
rnacentral:rRNA from 1 species